CCGGCGCACGGUGGAGUAACACGUAUGCAAUCCACCUGUAACAGGGGGAGUAACCCGGAGAAAUACCGGACUAAUACCCACUAAUAUGGGCGCUCCGCAUGGAGAGUUCAUUAAAGAGAGCAAUUUUGGUUACAGACGAGCAUGCGCUCCAUUAGCCAGUUGGCGGGGUAACGGCCCACCAAGGCGACGAUGGAUAGGGGUUCUGAGAGGAAGGUCCCCCACAUUGGAACUGAGACACGGUCCAA
rnacentral:rRNA from 1 species